GAGGGAUAUUGGUCAAUGGGCGCAAGCCUGAACCAGCGACGCCGCGUGGGUGAAGAAGGUCUUCGGAUCGUAAAGCCCUUUUCCCACUGAAGAGGAAGGACGGUAGGUGGGGAAGAAGUCUCGGCUAACUACGUGCCAGCAGCCGCGGUAAAACGUAGGAGACAAGCGUUAUCCGGAGUUACUGGGCGUAAAGGGCGUGCAGGUGGCGUCUUAAGUCUGUUGUGAAAGCGCCUGGCUUAACCGGGCGAGGCCAAUGGAGACUGAGAGGCUGGAGGACGGCGGAGGGCGGUGGAAUGCCGGGUGUAGUGGUGAAAUGCGUAGAGAUCCGGAGGAACACCAGAGGCGAAGGCGGCACUCUAAGCCGUACCUGACACUGAGACGCGACAGCACGGGGAGCAAACG
rnacentral:rRNA from 1 species